GGUUGCGAUCAUACCAGCACUAAUGCACCGGAUUCCAUCAGAACUUCGCAGUUAAGCGUGCUUGGGCGAGAGUACUACUAGGAUGGGUGACCCCCUGGGAAGUCCUCGUGUUGCAACCC
rnacentral:rRNA from 1 species